UGGGGAAUUGUUCGCAAUGGGCGCAAGCCUGACGACGCAACGCCGCGUGGAGGAUGAAGAAUUUCGGUUCGUAAACUCCUUUCGACCGAGAUGAAUACUCACGGACCCAACACGUCCGUGGGCUGACAGUAUCGGGAGAAGAAGCCCCGGCUAACUCUGUGCCAGCAGCCGCGGUAAUACAGGGGGGGCAAGCGUUGUUCGGAAUUACUGGGCGUAAAGGGUUCGUAGGUGGCUACCUAAGUCAGACGUGAAAUCCCUCAGCUUAACUGGGGAACUGCGUCUGAUACUGGGUGGCUUGAGUGCAGGAGAGGAAUGCGGAAUUCCAGGUGUAGCGGUGAAAUGCGUAGAUAUCUGGAGGAACACCGGUGGCGAAGGCGGCAUUCUGGACUGUAACUGACACUGAUGAACGAAAGCCAGGGGAGCAAA
rnacentral:rRNA from 1 species